GAUGAACGCUAGCUACAGGCUUAACACAUGCAAGUCGAGGGGAAACGAUAGAGAAAGCUUGCUUUUUCUAGGCGUCGACCGGCGCACGGGUGAGUAACGCGUAUCCAACCUGCCCACCACUUGGGGAUAACCUUGCGAGAGUAAGACUAAUACCCAAUGACGUCCAUAGAAGACAUCUGAAAUGGAUUAAAGAUUUAUCGGUGAUGGAUGGGGAUGCGUGUGAUUAGCUUGUUGGCGGGGUAACGGCCCAACAAGGCGACGAUCAGUAGGGGUUCUGAGAGGAAGGUCCCCCACAGUGGAACUGAGACACGGUCCAAACUCCUACGGGAGGCAGCAGUGAGGAAUAUUGGUCAAUGGGCUAGAGCCUGAACCAGCCAAGUAGCGUGCAGGAUGACGGCCCUAUGGGUUGUAAACUGCUUUUAUAAGGGAAUAAAGUGAGUCUCGUGAGACUUUUUGCAUGUACCUUAUGAAUAAGGACCGGCUAAUUCCGUGCCAGCCGCCGCCGUAA
rnacentral:rRNA from 1 species